UAGGGUGUGCAGGGGGGAGGGGAGGCGUGGAGCGCCUGGCCUGCAGGCACUGGGCGGCGCCCUCCCGCCUCUUCUUCUCCCACCCGGUGCCUGGUGGCUUGGCCUCCGCUCCAGAGCUUCGCGUAUCCUGGCAGGAGCCGGCGCUCUCUCCAUACUUAGGACUUAACCCUUCUUCCACACCCGGGCAGGGAAUCAUCUGCCCAAUCCGAAUUUGAUUUUUUGCUUGUGAGAGGAGAAACUGGUGACAGUGUCGCAUGGACACUGUCGGGGAAUCCGAGACGUAGACCUGGAAGCCUGUACCAGAGGCCUUGUGGACAGCUUUGGAGCAUGCAUCUUAAGGCACACCACCGGUUUCUGCUGCUUUGGCACAGCCACGCAGCACCUAGGACGCUUCUCUGCACGCAGCAGUGGCCUAAUCCGUGCACCCUCUGACGGCGUUGGAGGGAGCUGGGGAGCAACAUCAGGUUAAUAGCCCCUGAGCUAUUUGUAUGACAUGCAGAUUUCACCCUCUCAUUCUUAAAGGGUGAAAGGCUCCAAUUCAGAAAGGCGAGGAUGGGGCCCAGGAAUCUGCAAUCUGCGUGGGUUUUUUUUUUUUUUUUUUUUUUAUAGAGUCUUGCUCUGUCACUCAGGUUGAGGUGCAGUGGCGCGAUCUGUGCUCACCGCAACCUCUGUCUUCCAGGUUCAAGCGAUUCUCCUGCCUCAGCCUUCCGAGUAGCUGGGACUACAGGUGCACACCACACCUGGCUAAUUUUUGUAUUUUUAGUAGAGACGAGGGUUUCACCAUGUUGGCCAGGCUGGUCUUGAACUCCUGACCUCAACUGAUACGCCCACCUUGGCGUAUCCCUUGUGCUGGGAUUACAGUAUCCCAAUGUGCUGGGAUUACAGGCAUGAGCCACCGCGCCUGGCCAGAGUUUGCAUUUUAUUGUUGUUGUCGUUUGUUAGUUUGAGAUGGAGUCUUGCUCUGUAGCCCAGGCUGGAGUGCAGUGGCACCAUCUCCGCUCACUGCAACCUCUGCUUCCCAGGUUCAAGCGAUUCUCCUGCCUCAAUCUCCCAAGUAGCGGGGAUUAACAGGCGUGCACCAGCAUGCCUGGCUAAUUUUUUUAUUCUUAGUAGAAACAGGUUUCUCAUGUUGGGCAGGCUGGUCUCAAGCUCCUGAUCUGCCCACCUUGGCCUCCCAGAGUGCUGGGAUUACAAGUGUGAGCCACCGUGCCUGGCCUGUUUUGUUUUCUUAAAUCCAGUUCUGAUUCAAGCCUAAACCUGCCACUUCCAUUCCCAAUCCUCUGAGCUUCAUGAGCUCCAGAUACAGGGCUGUUAAUCACAAUUUCUUUAAUUCUUUAUAUCUCUUGUGGAAUUAGAGGGGUGGAUGUUCUUUUUGGAAAAACAUUAGAAAAUGCCUACAUGUCUUUAUUGAAAGAACUUAAAAGCAAUGUAUUUCUCUAGGGUUCAUUUUCCCUCACGGCUCUCAACCUUCUCAAAAUAUAAGGUUGGCGGAUUAAUUAUACUGAAAGUCUUCAGUUGGAUAUUUUAUUAUUGCAUUUUUAAAGUCGUGUUUUGUAAUUGCCCUGACAAUGUAAGGAAUGAUAUUUGUGAGGGUGAGUCAACAACACCUUCCCUGUUGGUGUUCUGCCCUCUAAUAACCCGGCGGGCUGGAUCCCCAGCACCUGGAAGGAGUCAUCAUGGAACGUUAAUAAGGAGGAAGGCUGGUGCUGGCGCCUGGAACGCUUCAGAGACAGAAAGCAGUGACUAGGCCAGACAGGCCCCUUGUUUCUGCGCUUUGAGGGAGAAGUGAGAAAUGGAAAAUAGUCUCUUUAUCUUCUCAGCAAACACAGCCUAUGCUCAGAAUGUCUCCGACUUCCCAUCUCUGAGAUGCCAGCUGCCCAGUUCCAUGGAAUCAUGGCAAGCGAGAAACUGUCGUUCAUAAGAGUUCAAGAAAAUGAAUAUUCUGUCAACUCCGUGAGGGCCAGUGGGUUCCAGAGGGUACUCAACUUGCUGGAGUCAUCUCUGCUAUGGCUUUAUUUGCGAACAACAGAGAACUUGCUCUGCAGCAGCCGCAGGCUCUCUGGGGACCCCACAGGCUGUGCAGAUCCCCCACCCCGGAACCACAGAAGGAGACGGAGCAGGAGCACACCCCGUCUUCCAGGCCCAGGACAGCUGCUGAGCUCCAGGACAUGGACUCUUGAAGGUUGAUUUUGACUACCUACUAAGCUCCAGCUGAACCAGUUCCACUUCUUUAACCUUCCCAUGAUCCCUGUGAGGGGUCUGUGGUGUUGCUAUUUGCAGGUAAAGAAAGUGAGAUUGAGGGAGACUGAAAGACCUGGCCCCAAGUCACAGCGCCCCGCUGAAUACGGUGCUGCCUGCUGGAUAUCCUGCGUGUUUCAACAGCAGCAGCUCUCGGCAAGUGAGUGGGCCACGAAGGAUGGACGAGGGACAUGGGGGAGCAAGCCCAGCUGCACGGUUCCAGCUCUUUCCGCCACAUCACAGCUUCUGCAGUUGGAAAGCCGAAACAGUGAUCUUCAGUUUGUUUAUCAAAGGGCCAAGAAAUCUGUGUCCCCAGCUUCUCUGCUUCAAUUCUGGUGCUGCUUAAGCCAAUUAUCACUUCAUGCCCUAAACCAAAAAAUAAACUCUACAAACGUCAACAUUACAUAGGACAAGAUCUGGCCCACAGAUUGGGGGCAGGAGCUGCUUUUUCAAUGAGAAGAAUGAACAGACCUAGUAGGCAUUGCCUUUAGACCCAGGGAAAAUGGAUAAUAAUGAAGCCCACAGAUUUUCACUCCAGAACUGACUUUGCUGCAGAGGAGCGAGGAGAGCUGCCUGGCAACGCAACGCAUCGCUGUGCAUAAACUUUGUUUACAGCCAAGGCUGGAGUAAAGGAACAGAUGGCAAGAAAAUCGGAUUUAAAGAAAGGAAGGAUGUGCCUGCAUCUGGGAGCUUGGUAAAUCUCUUGGCUUCUGGUGUGCAUACGAGGGUGACGUCUAGCUACCCCAGCAGUCGCGUCCCAGUUUGCUGUUGAUUUUUGCCUGUUUGGAUCUGUCUCUGAGGAUGGUUAAUACAUCUUAUUACAAGCAUUUAUCUCAUCCCUCCCACAGGAAAUGUGUUUUCCAGGGAUUUGUGUGUUCCCUAACCUUUUAUGGGAAGUAGUUUCUUGAUCAUCCAUGUGAUUGUGUAUCUAAAAUUUCAAGAAUAUUUAAGCUGUUAAUCCUGCUUGUCUGUAGAAGAUGGGUUUAUAUUUCUACGAUCUUGGAAAUAUUUACAAUGAGUGUGUAUAACAAGGAGAAAUAAGCAUAAACAUUUAUGCCUGCCACAUUCGUAAGCGUGCUUGUACACACACACCCGCUUCGUGCUUUAUUGUCUCUCUUUGGUGCUUUUCUCUGAAGGCAAAACAAUUUUAAGCAGCCGACCCUCACAAUAUAUGAAAUAGCUAUUAUCGAGGCUCACAGUAAAGCUGCCCAAGGCUUGCUUACCCCUCCCUCCUGAAGGAAAGUGCAAGUUACUCUUCAGGAAAGAUUUACAUCUGCUCCCUUGGGAAGGUAAAGGGAGAGAACAUACACAUUUUAUCCCAAUGAUGUAAACUUGCACUGAGCAGCCCCAACUGUUCAAAGCUGAUAACAAGUUAUAAGCAUUUUUAUUUCAAAAUAACCCCAUAUACAUUUAUAGCAAUUCUAGGACCUUCACAGCUACCCAUAAUCAAUCCCCUACAGAAACAUGCACCCUGCCAAGAAACUCCACCCCACUCCUACAUGUUAGCAACCUGUCACUCCUCAGCAACAUCCAGUUCUGUUGAAAGUCACUUCUUCAAAUUCAUCGUGAGCUGAAGAUGAAAUUACUUAAGCAAAAAUACCAUAGAUUAUAAAAAUAGUUCUUUACAAAAUAGUCACCAGUUAAAAAAAUCAGAGCAUCAAAGCAUCUUAUAGGAUUGACUGCCAAGCACCACUGGAAGUAAGCACUAUUAGAACUGGUUUGACCUGACUCAUUGCCUCCUGGUCUGUGCCAGGCCAGUUGCAGCUGUUAGGCAUAAGAGUGAUUCUUUCUGGUGGCACACAGCUUGCCCUCUUCAAUAAACCCUCUGGGCAUACCUCCCCAGCCCCCUGGAGUGCUUCUGGGGCCACACUCUGGAACUUCCAGGCAGCUGUAACGGCCAAUGGCCAGUGCAAUCCCCUUCACCAAUCUCUAAAAGGGUAACUUUGGGUUCAGAGGUCUAUGGCCUGCUGGUGCUCCCAAAUCUCUCAUAGUGCUUGAAUUCUGGCCUGUAUGAUUAUGGCUUCCUCAACCUACUGGCAAAGGGCACAGAGGAGGUCUUGGUACAAAGGCCAAGCUGGGCACAGGGCACUUAGUGACAAUGUAUCACUCAUCGUUGAGUCAUGUUCUUUUACUUCACAUAGCCUCUGAGUUGGCCACCGCCUCAGAUCCUCUACCUUCAACGCAUUGCUGUGACUAAGUCAAGGAAAAAGCCCUACCAAGAAAUCCCCAGAAGAAUCCACUAUGGCAAUUCACAAAUGCUCCUUGUAUACCCUAGGUGGUUCACAGCAGGGUGAUGGAAGGGUUCAGUGCAGGGACAAGGAACCAAGGCUGUGACCAAUCCCAUUUAAGUAUCGUAUCUUUAACUAAUUUCUGAUGUUUGGAGGUCCCACUGGCCUCAAGAAUGUUGCAGUUCUUGAGUCCUGUGUGCCAGGAACCACUGAUAGAUGUGCAGUUGUAGCCUUAACCAACAGCAGCCACCAUCCAGGAUGUUUCUUUUUUUUUGGUAUCCUUUUUUUGACUGAGGCAAAUAUAGCCUUGGCUCUGUGGGGUUGCAUAAGGAUCACCUAGGAUGCUUUUUCAAAAUGCAGGCUCCUGGGAGUCUCCCUUGCUUCAACCUUCUAGGUUCAAUAGGUCCAGGGUAGGACCUGAGAACAACAGGUUCCACAAGUGAAUCUGACGAUGGCGGAUUUGGGGAAAAGGCCCUAGAUAGUAACCUUUGUCUUCUUGUCUUUUCACUGUACACAAUCCCCCUCCCAACUGGUUUUAAUUACCUGGAGCUUUAAUUAUCACCUAUAUGCCAAUGACUUCCAACUCUCUAUACCUAUAGUCCUAACCUCUCUCUUGAAUGCUAGGUUUAAAUUUCCAUCAGCCAGCAGAUAAAUCUCCCUUAAUAUACCAUGGAUAAUUUCAAAAACACUUUCAAAAUAUAAUUGUGAGAACUUAUUUCCUCCUAAGACACUUGAAAUUAAUUGCCCCUCUUUGAGGUCUACGUAGGUAGUAAAAGGUCAGUGUUGACCAAAACGUGAAAUCCACUCAGGGUAAAGAAAGUUUUAUUUAAAUUUCUUGUAAAGUAAAAAAAAACGAAAAAACAAUGUUGCUAAUGGCAACCCAUAAUACUCAGACCAGAAAGCAGUUUGCUUCCACAGUCUAUAGGUUUUAAACCAGUGUCAGCUCUUUGCUGCAGAUGUGAACAGAAAUGCAAACAUUUCACCCACUUAAUGAUUUUUUGCCUUGUUUCCCUAAGACAACUAAUAGCUCUGUAAAGGCAAUAUUUGAUAACUGUGAGUACAUAUUGUCUGGUGAUUUGAUUCUUUAUUGCUUCUCAAAUCAGGAUGGUAAAGAUUCCAAUUUGAGAAUCUGAGUUAUUUUAUUUACCUGAAGAUGCAGAUCUGUAGUAACCAGGCUCCUUUUGUUGCAGGGAGCAGAAGCCUACUCAGUUUAUCUCAGGUGUUGGAUCACCUGAGGUCAGGAGUUCAAGACCAGCCUGGCCAACAUGGUGAAACCCCGUCUCUACUAAAAAUACAGAAAUUAGCCAGGUGUGGUGAUGGCGCCUGUAAUCCUAGCUACUCGAAGGCUGAGGCAGGAGAAUCUCGUGAGUCUGGGAGGUGGAGGUUGCAGUGAGCUGAGAUCAUGCCACUGCACCCCAGCCUGGGAGACUGAGCAAAACUCUGUCUCAAAAAAAAAAAAAAAAAAAGACAUAAAAUGGAUGGGUUUUCAAAUCAAAGUAAGUUUCAGUCACUACUAUUGCUAGUUUAUUUAUAUUUAAUAAAUAUAUAAUCCCAUGAUACUGUGCAACAUAAUUAGCAAGUAUUUAUGCUGUUGAAUCCAUGACCCAGUUUCCUGAAGACAUCUAUUUUCUAAAAGGAUUUUUUUCAAACUUAGAUUAAAAAGGCACUACUUAAGUAGGGUUGCCAGAGAGAAUACAGGACACUCACUUAAAUUUGAAUUUGAGACAAAUAGUAAAUAAUUUUUCACCAUAAGUAUAUCUCAGACAUGCAAGGGACAUAUUACACUAAGAAAUUAUUCAUUGUUUAUCUGAAAUUCAAACUUAAUUGGGCAUCUUGUAUUUUUCUUUCUUUCUUUUUUCUAAACCUGAUAACCCAUCCUCCACCCCAUUUAUUUAUUUUUCUUUCUUUUCAUAAAAAAGACUAAGAUUUUAGUUCUCCCUGGUGUAAUGGCCUCACUUCUCUUCCAAAUUGUUUUUAGAUCUUUUUUCUCCUUUGACAAUAUAUAACAGCCAUGUCACCUUUGUUGAUUUUUAAUGUGUAAUUUUUAAAUGUGUAUAAGGGCUGGGUGCAGUGGCUCAUGCCUGUUAUCCCAGCACUUUUGGAGGCCAAGGCGGGAGGAUCACCCGAGGUCAGGAGCUCAAGACCAGGCUAGCCAAUGUGGUGAAACCCCGUCUCUACUAAAGAAGUACA